CAAAAAGAAGUAAACAAAUAAAAAAACGUCGAAGAUCUUAGACAUUUUUUGACAUUACAGCUCGAGUUGUUGCGUACCAAACUGCGAAAACAAAAAAUUAAAAUGCAGUAAAUAAUAUUUUAAUAAGUUUUCAAAAAAAAAAGAAGAGCAAUGGACGUUAUGACAAGCGGUUUUAAAGAAAGACUUUAGUUUAGCCGAACUGUGAACUUUACACAUAACCACUCGAGCUUCGAAGAAAAAGUGUUCAUAAAAACCAUGCUGAUUUUUUUUCCUCGAUUAAACGCCUUUAUAUAAAAAGUAAAAGAAAUUUAUUGUAUAUAAUACAUCAAAUCGUUUGAACAAAAGAUCUACCAAAAGUGUUCAUUGAAGAAAAUAAUAUUAACAGCUGAUUAAAAGAAUUUUUUUUAAUUGUCAAAGAAUCUGAGAAAACUGCCAAAAUUAUAAGAACUAAACAAUGAAAUCAAGAAAUUAAAAAAUUUAGUUUAAAACUUAAUGAAUACAGCAAAGUUCAAUUUAAAACUAGAUGAAGACAGCUUAAUUCAGUUUAUAACUUUAUAAAAACAUAAAGGUUCAGUUUAAAACUUCAUGAUGACAGCAAACACUGCACUUCAACACGUAACGAAGACAGCAAAGUUCAGUUUAAAAUGAAAUCAAGAAAACGACGUUCAGUUUAAAACUUAAUGAAGAUAGCAAAGCAGCAAUUGAUGAAAGGGGAAAAAUCGCAUUUUUUAAUUACAAAAAUUAACUAUCAAUAAAAACAAAGGUUUGAUAAUCAGAUAAAAGAAGGAACAUAUAAAAUUUUAAAAGACAUUUUUAUAUGCCCUUCUUUCACUAUUGACAAUAUUUGAAUUAUUUUAUUAUGCAUAUAAGAGCUAUGACAGGCUCUUAAAAAACACAACUUUAAAAUAAUGUUUAAAUCAAAGGA